AAUGAACGCUGGCGGCAUGCCUAACACAUGCAAGUCGAACGAGACCUCCGGGACCAGUGGCGCACGGGGGUGUAACGCGUGGGAACCUGCCCUCAGGGUCGGCAUAACUACCAGAAAGGGGUGAUAAUACCGGAUAAUGUCUUCGGACCAAAGAUAUAUCGCCACUGGAUGGGCCCGCGUUGCAUUAGCUAGUUGGUAGGGUAAAAGCUUAAUAAGGCGACAAUGAAUAGCUGGGAUGAGAGGAAGGUCAGCCACACUAAGACUGAGACACGGCCCAGAAUCCUACGGGAGGGGGCAGUGGGGGACGGUGGAAAAUGGGGGAAGUGCUGAAGGAGCUAUGACCGGAGAGUGAUGUAGUCCUUGAAGAAGAAAUGCGCUUUUACCCAGGAAGAUAAUGACGGUACCGGAUGAAAAAGCCCCGGCUAACUCCGUG
rnacentral:rRNA from 1 species